GUGGGGAAUAUUGGACAAUGGGCGAAAGCCUGAUCCAGCAAUGCCGCGUGAGUGAUGAAGGCCUUAGGGUUGUAAAGCUCUUUCGACGGGAGCGAUGAUGACGGUACCCGUAGAAGAAGCCCCGGCUAACUUCGUGCCAGCAGCCGCGGUAAUACGAAGGGGGCUAGCGUUGUUCGGAAUUACUGGGCGUAAAGGGCGCGUAGGCGGCCGAUCAAGUCAGGCGUGAAAGCCCCGGGCUUAACCUGGGAACUGCGUUUGGGACUGGUUGGCUUGAGUUCGGGAGAGGAGAGUGGAAUUCCCAGUGUAGAGGUGAAAUUCGUAGAUAUUGGGAAGAACACCGGUGGCGAAGGCGGCUCUCUGGACCGAUACUGACGCUGAGGCGCGAAAGCGUGGGGAGCAAACAGG
rnacentral:rRNA from 1 species